UUGUGUUCCACUUGGCUAUAAGUGUAAAAUAAACAUGGACUGAGAAAUCGGCAUCUGUUCACUACUAUGGUCAUGACAACAAAUUCUUACAGAAAAUAAGGAGUAGUGAG